UAUGGCAGAUUAGUGCAAAGGAUUUAAAAACCUUAUAUAAAGAUAAUAUUGUCUUUUAUUAAAA
rnacentral:tRNA from 1 species